AGGAUGAACGCUGGCGGCGUGCCUAAUACAUGCAAGUCGAGCGGCAGCACGGUCUUCGGACUGGUGGCGAGCGGCGGACGGCUGAGUAACGCGUGGGAACGUACCCCAAAGUGAGGGAUAAGCACCAGAAAUGGUGUCUAAUACCGCAUGUGCUCUAAGGAGUAAAGCUUCGGCGCUUUGGGAACGGCCUGCGUCCGAUUAGCUAGUUGGUAAGGUAAUGGCUUACCAAGGUUACGAUCGGUAGCUGGUCUGAGAGGAUGACCAGCCAGACUGGGACUGAGAACGGCCCAGACUCCUACGGGAGGCAGCAGUAGGGAAUUUUCCACAAUGGGCGAAA
rnacentral:rRNA from 1 species